AGGUAGGUAGGAAGAAGAUUCUAAGGCCAACGGGAGAAGGGUUGUUAAGGAACUCGGCAAAUUGACCCCGUAACCUCGGGAGAAGGGGUGCUCCAGAGAUGGAGCCGCAGAGAAUCGGCCCAAGCAACUGUUUACCAAAAACACAGGUUUGUGCUAAAUCGAAAGAUGACGUAUACGAGCUGACGCCUGCCCGGUGCUGGAAGGUUAAGAGGAGAUGUGCAAGCAUUGAAUCGAAGCCCCAGUGAGCGGCGGCCGUAACUAUAACGGUCCUAAGGUAGCGAAAUUCCUUGUCAGGUAAGUUCUGACCCGCAUGAAAGGCGUAAUGAUUUGGGCACUGUCUCAACAGCCCGCCCGGCGAAAUUGUAGUACCGGUGAAGAUGCCGGUUACCCGCGACAAGACGGAAAGACCCCAUGGAGCUUUACUGUAGCCUAAUAUUGGGUUUCGAUGUUGCAUGCACAGGAUAGAUGGGACUCUGGGAAACCAGUGCUUUGGCGCUGGCGGAGAGGCCGUUGGGAUACCAUCCUUGCGAUAUUGGAAUUCUAACCUGCGGCUCUGAAUCGAGUCGGGGGACAUUGUUAGGUGGGCAGUUUGACUGGGGCGGUCGCCUCCUAAAAAGUAACGGAGGCGUUCAAAGGUUCGCUCGGCUUGAACGGAAAUCAAGCAAAAGAGUGCAAACGCAGAAGCGAGCCUAACUGCGAGACUGACGGGUCGAGCAGUAACGAAAGUUGGAGUUAGUGAUCCGGUGGUAUGUGAGUGGAAAUGCCAUCACUCAACGGAUAAAAGUUACCCUGGGGAUAACAGGCUGAUCUCCCCCAAGAGUCCACAUCGACGGGGAGGUUUGGCACCUCGAUGUCGGCUCAUCGCAUCCUGGGGCUGUAUUCGGUCCCAAGGGUUUGGCUGUUCGCCAAUUAAAGCGGUACGCGAGCUGGGUUCAGAACGUCGUGAGACAGUUCGGUCCCUAUCUGUCGUGGGCGCAGGAUAUCUGAUGGGAGCUGUCCCUAGUACGAGAGGACCGGGACGGACGUACCUCUGGCGCACCAGUUGUUCUGCCAAGAGCAUAGCUGGGCAACUACGUACGGAUCGGAUAAACGCUGAAAGCAUCUAAGCGUGAAGCCGACCCAAAGAUAAGAUAUCCCACUGUUUCAAACAGGUAAGAUCCCUUGAAGACUACAAGGUUGAUAGGCACGAUGUGUAAGUGGAGUGAUCCAUUCAGCAAGCGUGUACUAAUAGAUCGAGGGCUUGACC
rnacentral:rRNA from 1 species